rnacentral:rRNA from 1 species
AGAGUUUGAUCCUGGCUCAGGAUGAACGCUAGCUACAGGCUUAACACAUGCAAGUCGAGGGGAAACGACAUCGAAAGCUUGCUUUUGAUGGGCGUCGACCGGCGCACGGGUGAGUAACGCGUAUCCAACCUGCCCACCACUUGGGGAUAACCUUGCGAAAGUAAGACUAAUACCCAAUGACGUCUCUAGAAGACAUCUGAAAGAGAUUAAAGAUUUAUCGGUGAUGGAUGGGGAUGCGUCUGAUUAGCUUGUUGGCGGGGUAACGGCCCACCAAGGCAACGAUCAGUAGGGGUUCUGAGAGGAAGGUCCCCCACAUUGGAACUGAGACACGGUCCAAACUCCUACGGGAGGCAGCAGUGAGGAAUAUUGGUCAAUGGACGAGAGUCUGAACCAGCCAAGUAGCGUGCAGGAUGACGGCCCUAUGGGUUGUAAACUGCUUUUAUAAGGGAAUAAAGUGAGUCUCGUGAGACUUUUUGCAUGUACCUUAUGAAUAAGGACCGGCUAAUUCCGUGCCAGCAGCCGCGGUAAUACGGAAGGUCCGGGCGUUAUCCGGAUUUAUUGGGUUUAAAGGGAGCGUAGGCCGGAGAUUAAGCGUGUUGUGAAAUGUAGACGCUCAACGUCUGCACUGCAGCGCGAACUGGUUUCCUUGAGUACGCACAAAGUGGGCGGAAUUCGUGGUGUAGCGGUGAAAUGCUUAGAUAUCACGAAGAACUCCGAUUGCGAAGGCAGCUCACUGGAGCGCAACUGACGCUGAAGCUCGAAAGUGCGGGUAUCGAACAGGAUUAGAUACCCUGGUAGUCCGCACGGUAAACGAUGGAUGCCCGCUGUUGGUCUGAAUAGGUCUGCGGCCAAGCGAAAGCAUUAAGCAUCCCACCUGGGGAGUACGCCGGCAAC